rnacentral:rRNA from 1 species
AUUGAACGCUGGCGGCAUGCCUUACACAUGCAAGUCGAACGGCAGCACGGGGCAACCCUGGUGGCGAGUGGCGAACGGGUGAGUAACAUAUCGGAACGUGCCCUGGAGUGGGGGAUAACUAGUCGAAAGACUAGCUAAUACCGCAUACGAUCUACGGAUGAAAGUGGGGGAUCGCAAGACCUCAUGCUCGUGGAGCGGCCGAUAUCUGAUUAGCAGUUGGUAGGGUAAAGCCUACCAAGGCGACGAUCAGUAGCUGGUCUGAGAGGACGGCCAGCCACACUGGGACUGAGACACGGCCCAGACUCCUACGGGAGGCAGCAGUGGGGAAUUUUGGACAAUGGGGCAACCCUGAUCCAGCAAUGCCGCGUGUGUGAAGAAGGCCUUCGGUUG